rnacentral:rRNA from 1 species
CCUACGGGAGGCAGCAGUGGGGAAUAUUGCACAAUGGGCGAAAGCCUGAUGCAGCAACGCCGCGUGAGUGAAGCAGUAUUUCGGUCUGUAAAGCUCUAUCAGCAGGGAAGAAAAUGACGGUACCUGAUUAAGAAGCCCCGGCUAACUACGUGCCAGCAGCCGCGGUAAUACGUAGGGGGCAAGCGUUAUCCGGAUUUACUGGUUGUAAAGGGAGCGUAGACGGCAGCACAAGUCUGUAGUGAAAUGCCGGGGCUUAACCCCGGAACUGCUUUGGAAACUGUGCAGCUAGAGUGCAGGAGAGGUAAGUGGAAUUCCUAGUGUAGCGGGGAAAUGCGUAGAGAUUAGGAGGAACACCAGUGGCGAAGGCGGCUUACUGGACUGUAACUGACGUUGAGGCUCGAAAGCGUGGGGAGCAAACAGGAGUAGAUACCCGGGUAGUC